ensembl:lncRNA
UUGAGAAAAUACAUCAGUUUAAUCAAGGUAACAAUAUUUCACUUUACAAAUAAUUUCAUACAAUACAAGAAAACAAUGUCUGCAAUCCUGCAGCCAGCAAGCCUUGUUUUCUAAUGGAAGAUCCCCAGUAGUAUAAGUUAUAGUUGAGCCCUCCCGUUAAGUAGUGUAAUCCUUGAAGAUGCGAAGAUGCUGAUUUGCACAAUUUGAAUAACCCAUGUUCCAUAUUUUAAAAAGAAUUUAAAUGUCCUCUAUUACAGAACAACUUAAACUCCAAAAUGCUCUCAAAGUUCCUUUAACUGCCUUCAGACGCAGGGCUUUUCUUCUGACACACCAUUUCCAGGACAAACUGGAUGCCCUGCAUUUAAUACCAGUUCCAUUCUUGCAGCCGAGCUCGCACAACAAUCCUGAUGGUCUGUUUGCACGUGGAAUUUGUCAGCCGAGUGCUGGGGUGAAUGGUCAGAUUACACUGUGUAAAGACUCUACAGAGAGCAUGCCAACAUCUUCAAUUUUUGCUUUCUGUUAAGAUGAGUCUGCAGACAUUGUAAUAUUUAUUGAUCCAGAGGUGGUCACUGAUGGGGAGUUGGGGGUUUUGGCAUGAAAACUGUUCAUUAGCAUAGUGGAAGCAGGCGAAGUACUGGCAAAGACUGGGGGUGAAACAAAGUUGGAUAGGGGAGGAGUUGCACUGGGGGCAGCACCCGGCAGGUAAAUUGCUGAAAGAGGUGGAAGACCUGCAGAAGAUGACACAAAACCCUUCAGUUAGCAAAAUUGUAAUUUUACUUUAACAACAUUAGCUCUUGGACACUACACUUCUACUUUUCCUGCCUGGAGACGACACUCAGUAUUAAAGAAAAGGCUCAGACGGUGUUUGCUUCCAUUUCAACCAAUCCUGGAAAGAUGCCUUUGUAAAGCACUUUCACUGAGGUGUGAGUCAGAAUCCAGUUUCUGUGCAACAAUGCAUUUGAAUAUUAAAGGUAAGUUACUCUUCCACAACUUUAGUUUAAAUAUAAACACUAAGCAAAUUUCACAUGAUUUAAAAUGAUCGACUUAGUAAUUGGUUUAACCCUUUCACCCUUGGACGCCUACCAGGGGUAACCCUUUUCUGAACCAAACACUUUCGGUCAUUUCAGGUUUGCUUCCAAAAACGAAAUUUCUUUGUGUGCAUCAAAAGUUAGUGAGGGUGAUUUCUGCCUUGGUUGUCAAACCACAUCUUAAUGGAUAUAUACUGUGGUGUCAACUCAUCAUUAAGGAUACAGGGUGGUUAUCAGAUGUCAUCUUUAUGAUAAGGGGAUUGAUUCUCAGUAAAUCUUGAGAAUAACUUUGAGUUCGGUAUCUUGUCCAAGGAUACUAUGGCUUACAGAUCGAGCCACCAACCUUCAGAUUAGUUGAUGAUCUGCUACACUGAUCUGCAGCUAUCCCUUUAUAAGGUAAAAGAGUUAAAGGUCCUUUAGACUGCAGUUGCAAACAUGUGGAUGGGAGGAAAAGUAAAGGAAAUGUUUGACCCUUCCAGUUAUGGAUUCUAGUAUGCCACGGGGGACAAUUAAAAAGAUUGAUCACGAUGGUAGUAGACUCUUCUAUGAUGACAUUAUCCAUCUACAUGGCUCAAGGGGUCAAUAACAUGCUUAUGGAAAUGAUAACAAUGAGAAUUGUAUCCUCACAUUUCAAACUAAUUGGACACCUCGGGGA